ACAAUUAUUGGUUUAUGUAAAGUUCGUUGAUUACAAGAAUUUAGUUUGUCCUUUCAUAAUAUAACUAUUUUUUUUAUUUGAGGUCGGAUUUUAUACUAAUGCUCUUAGUUGUAAUGUAUUCAUAAUAACAAAUUUUCUCUAUAUUAAGUAGUCAAAUAAAAAAAAUUUAUUACUUUACAAUCGAUGUAGUAAAAAAAGUAGAUAUAACUAAAAUAAAUUAUCUUCUCAUUCUGACAUUAAAGCAAAAUAAAAUUUAAUUUAACUAUAAUUUAUUCCAAAUAGAAAUAUUUAUUUAAUUAAAAUGAAUAAUUUUUUAAACUAAAAUCAAUU
rnacentral:lncRNA from 1 species